AGGAGGGGGACGUGACACCUUCCCAGCCACGUUGUGAUGGCUUUCAUGUUGGGUCCUCUCAAAGCCCAGCUGCUUCCCCACGGAGGUGUGACCAGGUCCCACCUCCCUACCCUGCAAGCAUCAGGGAAUCACAAAUCCCCCGCAAAUGCCAGGCACCUCUUGUGAUGGUUUCCUACUGCAAAUUAUUUCUCUCUGCUGCAAAAAUCAAAUGUUUUUAUGACCUGUGAUAAAAACAUCAUGUUUUUAUGACCCAGAUGUGGCAGCCUUGGGAGGCAGAUGGACACUUGUCCAGCAUAUGUGUGAUGGACCUUCACUGCAUUGGCUGGGCACAAGUGGACAUCUCUAACCUGACUGUACCCCAUUCCUGCCAGGCCCGGUGUGGCUGGGGGGGGGGCCCCCAGCCCUGGCACGUGCCAAUGCCCUGGAGCAGGGUUGUGGCUGUUUGACCCAGCUGUGGGCAGGGUUCUGCAUCCCUGGAACCACGAGGGGUGUCCUGGAGCACCACGUGAGUUUGGCUGUGAGCAGGGCAUGACUAACUGGGGAGGUGCCUGCGUGCUCCUGACUCAGUAGCAGCUGCCUCUGGGGCACACUUGACACUGGGGAACUGGAAGAGUCCCAGCACUGAGCUCAGAGGCAAAUCUGCCCGACCUGCUACGUCAACAGCAGAAACGGAGGGGCCCUGCCGUUCUCUUCCUCCAGCCAACCUCAUCUGUGACCUUGGUCAGUGACAAACACUAUCCCAGCCCUGCCUGCCCUCAGCUUCCCUCUGGCCAUACCGCAGUUCAGGAUGGUAUGAUUCACGCUUAACUCAAGGAGUUGUUCGCUAAAACCUAAAAAUGGGUUUAUUGGGAACAUCUUUGGAGAGGAGCAAGACCUCUAAGGACACUCAGCAGAGGGAUGCAGCAUGUGAGCAGUCUUCCAUCCUUGUUGCCUGGAAAUAACCGCCCGACAUCAACCUCUAGCCUAUCCCGCACCUCACUGGUUUGGGGGACAGGAAAGCUGGCAGGUGAUCUUGCUGGCGGGCAGGAGGAACAAUGAGGGUCACACUAGCCAGACUCUGCGGAGAGGCAGGUUUCAUGCGGAAGCAUUUCU